GAUGAACGCUAGCUACAGGCUUAACACAUGCAAGUCGCGGGGCAGCAUGGGGGUUGCUUGCAAUCCCCGAUGGCGACCGGCGCACGGGUGAGUAACGCGUAUCCAACCUGCCCUUCACCACGGGAUGACCCGGCGAAAGUCGGACUAAUACCGUAUGUUGUCCAUUGACGGCAUCCGAUUUGGACGAAAGGCUUGGCGGUGAGGGAUGGGGAUGCGUCCGAUUAGCCAGACGGCGGGGUAACGGCCCACCGUGGCUACGAUCGGUAGGGGUUCUGAGAGGGAGGUCCCCCACACUGGAACUGAGACACGGUCCAGACUCCUACGGGAGGCAGCAGUGAGGAAUAUUGGUCAAUGGGCGUAAGCCUGAACCAGCCAAGUAGCGUGCAGGAUGACGGCCCUAUGGGUUGUAAACUGCUUUUAUGCGGGGAUAAAGUGGCCCACGUGUGGGCUUUUGCAGGUACCGCAUGAAUAAGGACCGGCUAAUUCCGUG
rnacentral:rRNA from 1 species